UGGGGAGUACGGUCGCAAGAUUAAAACUCAAAUGAAUUGACGGGGGCCCGCACAAGCGGUGGAGCAUGUGGUUUAAUUCGAUGCAACGCGAAGAACCUUACCUACUCUUGACAUCCAGAGAAGCCAGUGGAGACACAGGUGUGCCUUCGGGAGCUCUGAGACAGGUGCUGCAUGGCUGUCGUCAGCUCGUGUUGUGAAAUGUUGGGUUAAGUCCCGCAACGAGCGCAACCCUUAUCCUUGUUUGCCAGCGAGUAAUGUCGGGAACUCCAGGGAGACUGCCGGUGAUAAACCGGAGGAAGGUGGGGACGACGUCAAGUCAUCAUGGCCCUUACGAGUAGGGCUACACACGUGCUACAAUGGCGCAUACAGAGGGCAGCAGGCUAGCGAUAGUGAGCGAAUCCCAAAAAGUGCGUCGUAGUCCGGAUUGGAGUCUGCAACUCGACUCCAUGAAGUCGGAAUCGCUAGUAAUCGUGAAUCAGAAUGUCACGGUGAAUACGUUCCCGGGCCUUGUACACACCGCCCGUCACACCAUGGGAGUGGGCUGCAAAAGAAGUGGGUAGUUUAACCUUUCGGGGAGGACGCUCACCACUUUGUGGUUCAUGACUGGGGUGAAGUCGUAACAAGGUAACC
rnacentral:rRNA from 1 species